UGGUGGACGCGUAUUAUUGGGCUGUACAUUCCUGGGUUGAGCAUUCUCGGGCCGCGCAAUAUUGGUCCGGGGCGAUAAUACGAAGCCACUCUUUUCACAGGGCAAUAAUGUACGACCCCAUAAUUCGCGUCCAAUAAUUUGAGUCCCUUGGCUUUCAAUUAUUGGGCUGCGCAUUAUUGGUACAGGUCGAGAAAGCCCGACCCAAUAAUGUACGACCCAAUAAUAGGAAGCCAAAAACCAGAGAGAUUCUUUUUUUUAAGGGAGCUGUCAAAAUUAGUAGGGACGUUCUGACAUUAGCUCUUGACAAUUUAAAAAUAAUCGGUUUUUUCUAGUGCCAUCUUUCAGUGACAUUGACAGUAUUGUAUUGACACUUGUUGGUUUACAAAUACAAUAAAAUGAAUUCUAAUAAAAGAAACAGUAGACUCAGUAGAGGUACGAGGUACUGAAAAAAUAUUAAUUAAUGGAGAAGCCGAAGUUGGAGGAAAACAAGAAGAUUCGAGGAGAAUGGUGUGGCACUUAAUGCCGCCGGGACAGUAACCUAGCUGCAGCUCCAACUCUAGGGAAUUGGGCUGAAUGAACGCAACACGUGAUCGACAGCCCACCUGCUUCCUGCCGAGCGUCCCUACACUACAUCUACAUGGAUUCGCUUAUUCUGCUCUACAAAACUUCUGAGCUGAUACAAGCAGCCAGAAUGAGUCUCUGCUGAGUCGCCGGCGCCGGACGUGCGUCGCGCGCCUCGGGCGACUGACGUCUUCGUGUGAGUCGCCAAUUGCAGGGGAAGAUACGAAUAGUUAGGUAUAAAAGCUACUUUAGUCAACCUCGCCUCAGUACUGUUUGUAUUGACUGAAAUACAAGUAGCAUAUAUGAGACGUUCGGACGUAUCCGUGAAAAUACGAAGGUAAAGGAAAUUGCACUACAUUUUUAGAACCUAUUCACCUGUCAGUAAAAUAUUGAAAAGGAAAGUUCAUGAGUUUUAUUAUUUUCUUUCCUCCAACAGCUUCACAUGGAGCAAAUGUAAACCUUUUAUGUUAAUAAUAUCAGUAAUGUCAAGGUACAACGCUCUUUAGAGCAUAUUGCCAUUCCUUUUACUCGAGUGGCCUGUGGGUUAACUAUACGAAGCGAGCCUACGAUGCAUUAAAAGUGCAGUAUAACAAUGCAUUCAGAAUGCUGUUGGGCUUACCUCGUAGAUGUAGUGCAUCUGGCAUGUUUUGCGAAGCUAGAAGUUUUCUGGCAAUCAUGCGCAAGAAAAUAGUAUCUCUGCUAGGUCGAGUUAGAAGCAGUCCCAAACAUACAUGUUCGAAAAGUAGAACUCCCUUAGUAGGCCAAGCAAUAAGAAGUUAUAGAGGGAAAUGCUAGGAACACAAUUUUUGACUACGUAACUUUGUUUGGACUAGUUAGGAGGUGAACAUAUCAAAAGUCCCCGGCUGUAGCCCCGGUGCUGGGGGGUAGACUAGUUAUAGUCCAAACAAAGUUACGGAGUCAAAAACUGUGUUCCUAGCAUUUCCCUCUACAACGUUUUUUGAGCAUUCAUUUCCUGACCUAUAGAUCGUGUUUCAAUUUAUCGCCUCUCGUUGGCAAUUAAGGUGGUUCGCUUUCCAUACAAAAAAAACAAUUACAUAAGUACCUAAUAGUGUGUAAUUACUUAAUAUAACGCAAUUGUUUUUUGUAUGGAAAGCGAACCACCUUAACUAUUCGCACAACGUUUUGUAGUUGCAGUAAGUACUUACAUAUGGCCGGUUAAAUUUUCGAAAUAGGUAUGUAUUUACGUACAGUGCUAAUUGCCGCACAUAGAAUAAUUAAAGUUUGAUCAAUCGGAAUAUGUUCCUAAGUCACUUAUUACAUUUCGAAUUAUAAGUCUGUAUUUUACAGCUUUAGAUGUGCAUGACUGCAUAUGCACAUCUAAAGCUGAAAAAUGCUUUCAUGAAAUUAUGGCUAAAUUAUGUUAAUAGGGACAAAUGUAUCAUUUUCAACCAAAUGGGUUCUUAUUAUCUGUUGUCAAUAAGGCGCUAUUUCCAUAAAGCUUCAAUUUGAAAUCAGCCUCGUCGACAACCGACAAUGUUAACCUUUUGGUUGAAAACGUCACAAAUUAUGGCGAUAGAGAAUACAAUGUUCUGUUGCCAGAGUGCAGCACUAGUAAAACCCGUAAACGAGUGAAUUGCAAAAAAGUGUAGGUAACACAAUGGAAUAUUCACAAAAAUAUGAAAGAAUGUAACACAAAAUGAAGAAAAUGUAUGUGUUUUUUUUUGUGUUACGUCACACAAAGGACGCCAAAAUCGACGCCGCAAUAUUUUUCACGACGUGUAGAAUAAAAGUGGCGUCGAAUUCAGGAAUCCGCAAAUACUAUGGUAGCCGAUAGCCAAGUAAUUUAUCAAUAGAACAAUGUUAAAACAGUAGUAGAAACGGUUAGCUUUGCAAACUUUUAGUAGAUUGGUUUGGUUUUGGUAGAUUUCUCGGUUUGGCAUGCUUGAUGCUCUUCACAUCACCACAGACGGAGGUCGACAGUUCGAAUCUGUCUUGUUCAACCAAUUGAUGGAGGCACAUGCACGCAUACGAAGUAUACGAACCACAUAUUACACUACCAUCCUGGAGCUAAUUGGAUUAUUUGCAUCUACUAUUAUAGUAUAUACCUAUGCCUUAUUUUUACGCCUAAGACCCUAAGCUUUUAACAAAAACCAUUAUUUCUUUUAUACCUACGGGCGGUUUAGCUCCCGUACCUACCUCUAUUAUACCUAGCCACGUGCUAAAGCAACAAUGUCCUUUAAAUCCGUAUCCCGUAUCGUGAUAGUAUUAAGAUUCAACUCGUCUACAUCGAGGUGGUCGAUCGUCCUAAAUACAUUACCAAAACAUGUUAACUCGUAUGAGCCGUUACAUAGAUUUGAACCUUAAUACUAUCAUGAUAAUUAUUGAUUAAUAUUUUUAAAUAAUUUGUUAAGCAUAUUUACACUUGCAAAUAUACACUUGCAGCAUUCUAAUAUUAUGGUAUGGUAAACAUAUAACAUGUUAUAUAUUCGCGAUUCAUGUCAACAGCCCUAGUGUCAGGCCCCCGCCACCCGCGCCCGCCCGCGCCCCCGCCCCGCAGUAAUAGUUAUCUGUUUCACUCGGGGGCAAAGUUGUUGUUCAAUCGCUCGUGCUAAUAUUGAUACCCGAGCAAGCGAAAGAUUCCAAAAUUGAACCGAUAGCGUAGCGAGUGGUUAAAAAAAUGGAAUCUUGAGCGUUGCGAGGGUUUCAAAGCGCGAGGGUUAAACAAAAUUUGCUCCCGAGUGAAACACAAAAUGUUUCACCACACCGACCCGAAGCAAAUAUUAAAUGUAAAAUAUCAAACAAAAUCAAAUCCAAAUUAAUGUUACCUAUUAAAUAUUUAUCAUCCAAAAUCAUCAUAAAAGUCAGUUCUACCAGCAAACAUAAGAAAACAACUCAAAAUUUGCAUUUGAUUACUUUGCCUCACAUGUGAAUAAAAUGCAACUUUGCUAUCAGUUUUUGAAGUGCUAAGAAAGCCUUUCCGAGUAGGUGUGGUGAAAAAUAUAAAGUUCUAAUGCUGAAACGUAUCACUAUCACUGUUUAGUUAGAACAACAUGAACCUCAUAGAACCCUCUUUCAAGUGCUAUUGAAAGAGGCGGCUAUACAGGGCCUGGGGCCUAGGGCGGCGAAUAGUUAUUUACGAUACAAGUGCGGAAAAGAGGAAAUUCGAACGAGUGGCGAUAAAUUAAAACACGACCGAAGGGAGUGUUUUAAAUCCACACGAUUUGCAAAUUACCUAUUCGCACGUGUAUCGUACAACGUUUUACAGUACAUGGCCCUUUAAGCUUUUGACAUACGCACGAAAAGUGCUAUUUUACGCACUAGUGCGGGAAAAUAGGACCAUAAUUAUAUACUUUAAAUGAUAUUUUUAUUAUUAAUUUGUAUAAAUGAAUGUCAUUAGUCAUUGCCUACAUUAAAUGUACUUAAUCUAUGCUUCCAUAAAUAUAUUUACUAUCAUUAUCAAUAUAUUACAAGACGUUGCACAUA